rnacentral:rRNA from 1 species
ACGAACGCUGGCGGCGUGCCUAAUACAUGCAAGUAGAACGCACAGUUUAUACCGUAGCUUGCUACACCAUAAACUGUGAGUUGCGAACGGGUGAGUAACGCGUAGGUAACCUGCCUGGUAGCGGGGGAUAACUAUUGGAAACGAUAGCUAAUACCGCAUAAUAUUGAUUAUUGCAUGAUAAUUGAUUGAAAGAUGCUAUUGCAUCACUACCAGAUGGACCUGCGUUGUAUUAGCUAGUAGGUGAGGUAACGGCUCACCUAGGCGACGAUACAUAGCCGACAUGAGAGGGUGAUCGGCCACACUGGGACUGAGACACGGCCCAGACUCCUACGGGAGGCAGCAGUAGGGAAUCUUCGGCAAUGGACGAAAGUCUGACCGAGCAACGCCGCGUGAGUGAAGAAGGUUUUCGGAUCGUAAAGCUCUGUUGUAAGAGAAGAACGGGUGUGAGAGUGGAAAGUUCACACUGUGACGGUAUCUUACCAGAAAGGGACGGCUAACUACGUG